AUAGAAGAUUUAGCUAGCCAGAAAUUUACAGAAGAAAGAAAGAAGAGAGUAAUUAGCUAGGUAAACAGGAAGCUAGAAUCUGUUUUGGAGAUAAAAUGAACCCACAGAGGCUGGGAGGAGAAAGGGAACUGAGCCAGUUGUUGACUAAGGCUCCUUCUUCUCCUCCCUGGAAAAGCACUUGGAAGAGCAGCUGAGGAGGAAAAGUGGAAAGCAGGCUUUUCAAGAGCAAAUGAAGCUUCCAGUUGCCCUUCCAGCUACCUGGUGAGAAGACUCUUCCUCAUAGGAGGAGAAAGCUCAGAGAUAGGAAGAGAAGCCGAGUGUCUCUGAGAAUGCACAGCUCCUAGUACACGAUCCUUGGAUUUGUGCAGGCGUUGAUCUCACUGGCCUGGUAAUUGCAAAAGCUGAAGAAGGGGUGAAUUUAAAAAUGCCACCUCCAAAUGCCUUGGGACCGCUCCGUCUCUGAAGCUGUGGACAGCUCUGUGGAGUCUGUGCAGAAUGACAAGGAUGACAAAAAAAGAGAACCAAAAAUAUUUGAAGGCCUUCCUGAAAAUCCACGGGAAGGAAGGAUCCGAAAAUCCUGAGACUUCUGUUUCUCGAGUGACCUGCAACAAGGCCAAGGGCGACUGGCGUCCGCGCGCUCGAGGUCCUCUCAGCAGGAGUUCCCGGCCAGCUGGAGCUCAGCGACCACCACCUCGGGCCUGGGGAUUUCCCUCUCCGGCCUUGGGGGGGGGGGGGGGACUAAGCAGCUCCAGGUGCCAAGAGUUCCCUCUCCCGAAAUUCUCGCCCCAGUGCUAAAUUAACUUUGGCGUCCUAAGGACCAGAGGCCAAGGGUAGUUUAGGGUGGGGAAGCUCUUAUCUCCUCUGGCCUCCCCACCCCAUUCUUUGAUAAGGCAAUGGGCAUUUUUCUGGAUGCUAUCUAUGUAAAAUGCUAUGCAAAAGCAACUUCAAGUCCCCUACCUCCCGCACUUCUACCUAGAUGGCGCUCCAAGCCCUGCCUGCUUGGAAUUUCUGAGCCACUUUCUCCCCAGGUCUUUUCCUCCCAGGAUCCCCAGGUUUAUGAAGCCGGCGCACCAGGACUGCUGGAGACACGUCCUGCCAGCCUGGAGCCUAGCUCGGGGAAUCCCCGCCCACCUUGUCCUGGGGGGGGGGGGAAUCCCCGCCCCCUGUCCCUGUCACUCCA
rnacentral:lncRNA from 1 species